AAGUCGUAACAAGGUUUCCGUAGGUGAACCUGCGGAAGGAUCAUUAUUGAAACAAAGGGGUCGCUCCGGUGAGCCCUGCGCCGACGGAGACGUCGUGCUGCGGGCCCCGGUCGGCCUCGUCCACCUUCACACCCCUGUGCACCUUUGGGAAGGCGGGCCUCUGUGCCCGUCGGCCCGCUAACAAACUCUUUUGAUGUAACCUGAACGUCUUCGCGGACUCUGAGCCGCUUGAAACAGUAACAACUUUCAACAACGGAUCUCUUGGCUCUC
rnacentral:misc_RNA from 1 species